UUCACUUUUAGUUGACAGUGACUGGUGUA
rnacentral:piRNA from 1 species